rnacentral:rRNA from 1 species
UAGGGGGCGAGCGUUGUCCGGAUUUACUGGGCGUAAAGAGUGCGUAGGUGGCUUUGCACGUCAGAUGUGAAAUACCGGGGCUUAACCCCGGGGCUGCAUCUGAAACUGUAGAGCUAGAGUACAGGAGGGGAAAGCGGAAUUCCUAGUGGAGCGGUGAAAUGCGUAGAGAUUAGGAGGAACACCGGUGGCGAAGGCGGCUUUCUGGACUGCAACUGACACUGAGGCACGAAAGCGUGGGGAGCAAA